ACAAGCAACCUUUAACCUUUGAGAAAGGCCCGGGAGUUGCUCCAUCACAACAACACUGGUAACAGAGGGACAGAACUUGCACACAGUACAGCUUGUACUUAUUACUCUUGGGAGGAUGUCAUCAGCCAGCUAGCACCUCCAAACAAUCAGGCAUGACUUUUCCACCUCCAACAAGGGGCAGAAGCUGACGGGACCAAAUGAUGCGGUGCAUGGAGAAGCGUUUGGAAUCUGUAAAGGCUGAAGAGGAGGCUCAGCGAGGAAACUGCUUGCCAUACAAGACCUACAUUCAGAAGUCAGGCCCGGCAGCAUGUGCUUGUAAACUGCCCCCUCAAGGGAGAAACCCAUCUGGUUUUAACCUCACUGCAGGCUCUCAUUGCUGGCAGAAAACUACCAUUCUUCCAUCAAUGGCUGAUGUGUCAGAUGCACACUUUCAGUUCCAGCAUCCAGAAAAAUGAAU